UCCCGCUUAGCUCAGUUGGUAGAGCGCGUCACUAGUAUGCUUACGUAACGCAAUGACGAGGUCAGUCGUUCAAGUCGGCUAGUGGGAA